UCCCUCCCCCUCAAAAAAAAAAAAAGAACAAAACUGAAUUGGAAAACGGUCCCUCAAGCGUGGUACGACCAUAAUGAUGCCUAUUGGCUCGCAGUUAUGACAAUCAUUUCCCGCAGGGAGCGCUACCACCACAAUCCCCAACUUAGCCUAAGUUCAGAGGCUCUGGGUCCGAGCGUCUUAAAGGGGCCACAUAGUGGGCCCACAAUAUAGAGGACCCACGGAAGACCUUUUUUAAAGUUCUGGAGAAUUGUGCAGCCAGCAACUAACAAGGGAGGACCACCUCUCUCCCCCAUUUCCCUCUAAACCUAAGGCCAGGCCGGUUCUGGAGUGCAGCAUGGCUCCAGGCUUCUCUGAAGAGGAGCAGGCCAUUCCUCUGAAGCUCCCAGCCCUAGGCCCCCCUGACUAGGCCUUCUGGAAGCCUUUGCUCUGCCAAAUCAGCCCCUCCACAGGUCAUCUCUCCCCGUCUUCCAAAAGUGAAGAAUAUUUAGCUGUCUCCGGGCACUGUUCAAAGGUCCACGGGCCCAUGGGCGAUGAUCCAGGCCGGGCUUUACCUCUACCCUAGUCUCAGCCACCCAGAGGGAACAUUAAUUAGCCUCCACGGGAAGUCGGCUCCCUCCUCCCUAGAACUGUAGUCUGGAAAGAAUCUCGGAUCCGAUGGCAUCCUGCUCCGGCAAUCCUGAUAACCCCGGCCAGGUUUACCAGAGCCCCGGAGCCCAGCGACCUGGGGGGCCCCAGGGUUGGACACCUGUCACCUGGGCUGGAGGUGGAAGAAAGACAGAACUGGAGUUUCUAGGAAGGGCAGGCAUGGUGGGGCCCUGCUGUAUGAGAAGGGGUUCGACUGAGAUUCGUGGGGGAGAGGUUACAUUUCCCUUCCAGCUUCAUCUCGGAAAUAAAGGAAGGAGAGACCCACGGAGGGGGAGAGCGAGGAACAUCCUGAGACCGACGGGAAGCCUCCACCUAAGAGGGGGGCAGAAGGAGGUGGGAAGCCCAGGCGAGAAGGGCAGGGGAAGAGACCCCGACGUGGCCCCAGGUCCACCACACGCCGCCCCUACCGCCCCCCACCUCUGCCCCACCUCCGCAGCACAAGCAGACGUGCACAUUCUUUUCAAAUGUCAUAUUUCCUUUGAUCCUGGGCAGCGUUUCUCCAUGUGUCUGGCUCAGCUCCUGCCCAGCCAGCCGCCUCCCCCUCUCACCCCA